rnacentral:lncRNA from 1 species
GGGGUGGGGGUGGGGCUGCUAGGAAAGCACUGUGGAAUUCAGAGUGAGGAGGGACUGGAGGGAGCUGGGUCUCCAUUCUGCAUUUACUGUGACAUUUGGGGACAGUGCUUAGAGGACUCAGGUUGCCUUCCCCUUGCUGCUGGCUUCUGGCCCUCUUCCUUCAUAUCCAAGGGGCCUCACGGAGUGCAGACUCGGUAUUCCAUCGGGCAGUUCUCGGUAAUCUGGUAACACGUGUCCGAUGCCAGUUCCAGUUCUCUGGUUGAAUCUGAUAGGUACAGAUCCCAAACCCAUGUUGGACAUGGUGUGGGCAGGAUAACCUGGCAGGCCUGGGAGUCAAAUGAAGAGAGGAGCUGAGGGCUGCUGCAAAAGUCUCAGGAUGGCUGACUUGUCUCCUUCUGAAGUUUCUAGACUUGACUCUGACACAAAGGCCUUUGGGAGAACAGACUCAAGGGACAAGGGGUGAUGCUUCGCUUCCCUCAUUGGAGCCCCUUUCAGAGGGGAAAACUCACAGGCAGGAACCUGCGUGCCAGCCCUGACCCAGAGCAACAGUGAACAGUCCCCGCUGUGUUCCACAGCGCUCAUCCAGAAACACUGCGGGGUUUCCAUCACAUUCUGCAGUCCACAGGAAACCUGGAAGCUGAGUCUUUUUCUUCUGUGAUCUCUGCCUCCCCUGCUGGCCUGUGCUCUAUGGGAGCUCAUUAGCUGAACCCCAGGACCAAGGACAAGCAAGCAGGGCUGAAUAGAGACUUUAUGAACAGCUGCUACUCCGUGGUGUUGUCUCCUUGUGAAGAAAGGGGUGAGCCUGGAAGUAGAAAGCAGGGGAUUUGGUUUUGUUAUUGCGUAAUCUUCCUGGAAGGCGGGCGAGGGGGGUGGUAAGAAGAGCAUUUGUCACUUGAACUGUCUGCUUGGGACAGUAUUCCCUGACCCCUUUCCAGGACUUCCAUAACUUGGCACUGAGUUGGCCCUUAAGUUGGCAAACAAACCUUGGCACUGAGCAACACUUAAGAGGUAGAAAGAAUGUUUUCAUGCCUUCAGCAGCUCCAGCAGACUCUGAAGGCUGAGCGGUAGCAGUUCUAUCGCCUGCCAUCCAGCCCCAGAGUAGAAGGGUCCGGCAUCUCCAGCCAGGUAGCCUGUAUGUCAGGCUCACAUAGGCUAUGUAUGGCAUCUCCAUCUCGGGAGAACAAGCGUUGAUGCUUCAGUUCUGGCCUCGUCAUUACCAAUGUCCUUCAAUGGUCCCUCUUUACUCUGAGGGGAGCAGAAAAGGGGGUCUCAUUUGGAUGCCAUGAGAUAAGCUAAUUUCUAGAACCUUCUCUAUCUUCUGUCAGUUCUAGUUUGGAUUAGCGAUUAGCUGUCAGAACCAGACAGACAACUCUACUCAGACAAGUACCAGAUGGGGAGCGCUGAGUCCUCGGGUGCCGAAGGGACCUCAGAUGAUUCCUACAGGGCCUGUGCUUUCUUCCCCUGCUUAGAGAACAGCACAUAGGUCCUUAGCGGCUUGCACAUAAACAUAAAUGAAAGAUCUUUAGCCCCAUAAGAAAGAAAAAA